ACCCCAUGUCAGAGCAUUACUGUGUGAGCUCCGCCCCCUGCCAGAGCAUUACUGUGAGCUGCACCCCCUGCCAGAGCAUUACUGUGUGAGCUCCGCCCCGUCAGAGCAUUACUGUGUGAGCUCCGCCCCCUGUCAGAGCAUUACUGUGUGCGCUCCGCCCCCUGCCAGAGCAUUACUGUGAGCUCCACCCCCUGCCAGAGCAUUACUGUGUGAGCUCCGCCCCCUGUCAGAGCAUUACUGUGUGAGCUCCGCCCCCUGUCAGAGCAUUACUGUGUGAGCUCCGCCCCCUGUCAGAGCAUUACUGUGAGCUCCGCCCCCUGUCAGAGCAUUACUGUGUGAGCUCCGCCCCCUGUCAGAGCAUUACUGUGUGAGCUCCGCCCCCUGCCAGAACAUUACUGAGCUCCGCCCCCUGCC
rnacentral:lncRNA from 10 species